rnacentral:rRNA from 1 species
UACGGAGGAUGCAAGCGUUAUCCGGAAUGAUUGGGCGUAAAGGGUCCGUAGGUGGUGAUGUAUGUCUAUUGUCAAAGGUUCUGGCUUAACCAGAGACAGGCAGUAGAAACUGCAAAACUAGAGUGCAGUCGGGGCAGGGGGAAUUACUGGUGUAGCGGUGAAAUGCGUAGAGUUCAGGAAGAACACCGGUGGAGAAAGCGCCCUGCUAGGCGGUGACUGACACUGAGGGACGAAAGCUAGGGGAGCGAAUGGG